AACGAACGCUGGCGGCAGGCUUAACACAUGCAAGUCGAACGCGAAAUCACCUUCGGGUGGUGGAGAGUGGCAGACGGGUGAGUAACGCGUGGGAACCUACCUAGUGGUCCGGAAUAACUCAGGGAAACUUGGGCUAAUACCGUAUGUGCCCGAAAGGGGAAAGAUUCAUCGCCACUAGAUGGGCCCGCGUCGGAUUAGCUUGUUGGUGAGGUAACGGCUCACCAAGGCGACGAUCCGUAGCUGGUCUGAGAGGAUGCUCAGCCACACUGGGACUGAGACACGGCCCAGACUCCUACGGGAGGCAGCAGUGGGGAAUAUUGGACAAUGGGCGCAAGCCUGAUCCAGCCAUGCCGCGUGAGUGAUGAAGGCCCUAGGGUUGUAAAGCUCUUUCGGCGGGGACGAUAAUGACGGUACCCGCAGAAGAAGCCCCGGCUAACUUCGUGCCAGCCGCCGCGGUAA
rnacentral:rRNA from 1 species